UAUAAGGUGGCUGAGUGGUUAAGGCAAUGGACUGCUACGCCAUUGUGCUCUGCCUGUAUGGGUUUGAAUCCCAUCCUCAUUG
rnacentral:tRNA from 1 species